rnacentral:rRNA from 1 species
AUAUCACUAAGCGGAGGAAAAGAAACUAACAAGGAUUCCCCUAGUAACGGCGAGCGAACCGGGAAGAGCCCAACUUGAAAAUCUCCCUCUGGAGAAUUGUAGUCUAUAGGAGUAUCCUCUGCCGAAGGCCAAGCCCAAGUCCCCUGGAAAGGGGCGUCAAAGAGGGUGAGAACCCCGUAGGUUUGGUUCCUAGGCUCCACGAGGUGCUUUCACAGAGUCGGGUUGCUUGGGAAUGCAGCCCAAAUUUGGUGGUAAAUCCCAUCUAAGGCUAAAUAUUGGCGAGAGACCGAUAGCGCACAAGUA